rnacentral:tRNA from 1 species
UCCCUGGUGGACUGGUGGUUAGGCCUGAGCACUCUCACCACCGUGGCCCAGGUUUGAUUCCUGGCCAGGGAA